rnacentral:misc_RNA from 1 species
CGGGGUUUUGGUCGAAAGACCGCCUCCCACCCUUUGUUUAUAAAACCAGUUGCUUCGGCGAGACGCUGAUUCCUUGAAUUGGCUAUCUACUUUUAGUGGAUACGUGCUCGCCGAAGGACCCUUAAAACACUUGUUUUGGAGUUGUCUGAGUAAAAAACAAAAAGUUA